rnacentral:piRNA from 1 species
UGCUAGGCUACAAACUCCAGACUGCCCUGC